rnacentral:rRNA from 1 species
GGGGAAUAUUGGACAAUGGGGGCAACCCUGAUCCAGCAAUGCCGCGUGAAUGAUGAAGGCCUUAGGGUUGUAAAGUUCUUUUAUUGAUGACGAUAAUGACGGUAAUCAAUGAAUAAGCACCGGCUAACUUCGUGCCAGCAGCCGCGGUAAUACGAAGGGUGCUAGCGUUGUUCGGAAUGACUGGGCGUAAAGGGUGCGUAGGCGGCCAGAAACGUCUGAUGUGAAAUCCCUGGGCUUAACCUAGGAACUGCAUUGGAUACGGUCUGGCUAGAGUCCGCGAGAGGAAGAUGGAAUUGUGCGUGUAGAGGUGAAAUUCGUAGAUAUGCACAAGAACACCGGUGGCGAAGGCGAUCUUCUGGAGCGGUACUGACGCUAAGGCACGAAAGUGUGGGGAGCAAAC